rnacentral:rRNA from 1 species
AUUGAACGCUGGCGGCAGGCCUAACACAUGCAAGUCGAGCGGGGUUUUCGGACCUAGCGGCGGACGGGUGAGUAAUGCGUAGGAAGCUACCCGAUAGAGGGGGAUACCAGUUGGAAACGACUGUUAAUACCGCAUAAUGUCUACGGACCAAAGUGUGGGACCUUCGGGCCACAUGCUAUCGGAUGCGCCUACGUGGGAUUAGCUAGUUGGUGAGGCAAUGGCUCACCAAGGCGACGAUCCCUAGCUGGUUUGAGAGGAUGAUCAGCCACACUGGAACUGAGACACGGUCCAGACUCCUACGGGAGGCAGCAGUGGGGAAUAUUGGACAAUGGGCGCAAGCCUGAUCCAGCCAUGCCGCGUGUGUGAAGAAGGCCUUCGGGUUGUAAAGCACUUUCAGUAAGGAGGAAGAGUUGAGUGUUAAUAGUACUCAGCUUUGACGUUACUUACAGAAGAAGCACCGGCUAACUCCGUGCCAGCCGCCGCGGUAACAC